rnacentral:rRNA from 1 species
AUUGAACGCUGGCGGCAGGCCUAACACAUGCAAGUCGAACGAGUGGCGGACGGGUGAGUAACGCGUGGGAACGUACCUUUUGGUUCGGAACAACACAGGGAAACUUGUGCUAAUACCGGAUACCGAAAGAUCGGCCCGCGUCUGAUUAGCUAGUUGGUGAGGUAAUGGCUCACCAAGGCGACGAUCAGUAGCUGGUCUGAGAGGAUGAUCAGCCACAUUGGGACUGAGACACGGCCCAAACUCCUACGGGAGGCAGCAGUGGGGAAUAUUGCACAAUGGGCGCAAGCCUGAUGCAGCCAUGCCGCGUGUAUGAAGAAGGCCUUCGGGUUGUAAAGUACUUUCAGCGGGGAGGCGUUACCCGCAGAAGAAGCACCGGCUAACUCCGUGCCAGCCGCCGCGGUAAUAC